rnacentral:rRNA from 3 species
CUCCGUGUUGUAGCUAACGCGUUAAGCACUCCGCCUGGGGACUACGGUCGCAAGACUAAAACUCAAAGGAAUUGACGGGGACCCGCACAAGCGGUGGAGCAUGUGGUUUAAUUCGAUGCAACGCGAAAAACCUUACCACUCCUUGACAUGGAGAUUAGAUCCUUCUUAACGGAAGGGCGCAGUUCGGCUGGAUCUCGCACAGGUGCUGCAUGGCUGUCGUCAGCUCGUGUCGUGAGAUGUUGGGUUAAGUCCCGCAACGAGCGUAACCCUCAUCCUUAGUUGCCAGCGGGUAAUGCCGGGCACUUUAAGGAAACUGCCGGUGGUAAACUGGAGGAAGGUGGGGAUGAUGUCAAGUCAGCACGGCCCUUAUGGGGUGGGCUACACACGUGCUACAAUGGUGACUACAAUAGGUUGCAAUGUCGCAAGGCUGAGCUAAUCCGUAAAAGUCAUCUCAGUUCGGAUUGUCCUCUGCAACUCGAGGGCAUGAAGUCGGAAUCGCUAGUAAUCGUGGAUCAGCAUGCCACGGUGAAUACGUUCUCGGGUCUUGUACACACUGCCCGUCACGCCAUGGGAAUUGGCUUAACUCGAAGCUGGUGCGC